CUGUCGCGUCGGCAGGAAGGCGGCGCACUCGGCCCCUCCGUUCCCCUCAAACCGCGGGUCCACCCCGCCGUACAUCCAGUCCAGCAGGCUGUAGACGCUGUAGCGGGACAUGUUCCGGUUCCUCCCGUGCUGGAACAGAAGUGAGCCGGUCUGUCGACUGCACACCUGUUCAGGAAGAGAAGAGGGAAAUAAAUAUAAAAGGUCUACCACUGACAUCAUCAACAUGCGCCAGGAGCAACAGCGCCAGACAAACCACAUAUGCUAUCGCACAACCCAUUAAUUAUACAGGUUAUUAAAAUUGUAUAAAUAUUUCUUUUCUGAAAUUAACUGAUACGUUUUUCCUCUUAUAUAUAUCUUAUAUAUCCUCUUUAUAGAACUUUUGCGUCCAGGAUCAUUUCAAACAUAAUUAUUUGUUGUUUUUGUUUAAACAUUAACCUGAAUAACUGUUUCACACCACGAGGAUCUUUCAGCAUAAUAAAAGAGAAAAAUAAAAUCCAUCAA